GAUGAACGCUAGCGGCAGGCUUAACACAUGCAAGUCGAGGGGUAGAAAUAGCUUGCUAUUUUGAGACCGGCGCACGGGUGCGUAACGCGUAUGCAAUCUGCCUUGUACUGGGGAAUAGCCCGGAGAAAUCCGGAUUAAUGCCCCAUGGUAUUUUUGUGUGGCAUCACACGAUUAUUAAAGAUUUAUCGGUACAAGAUGAGCAUGCGUCCCAUUAGUUAGUUGGUGUGGUAACGGCACACCAAGACGAUGAUGGGUAGGGGUCCUGAGAGGGAGAUCCCCCACACUGGUACUGAGACACGGACCAGACUCCUACGGGAGGCAGCAGUGAGGAAUAUUGGUCAAUGGGCGCAAGCCUGAACCAGCCAUGCCGCGUGCAGGAUGACGGCCCUAUGGGUUGUAAACUGCUUUUAUACGGGAAGAAACACCUCUUCGUGAAGAGGCUUGACGGUACCGUAAGAAUAAGGAUCGGCUAACUCCGUGCCAGCAGCCGCCGUAACAC
rnacentral:rRNA from 1 species